GUGCAAUUACACUAAAAAAUUGACUAUAUAUACACUAUAACAAAUUAGCUGAUGUUAAAUAAUUUGGCGAGAGUGACGAAGGAAUCGGACCACUGAACAAAAUGAAGAUUGUAUUAAUAAUUGCUGCGGUUAUCGCAAGUGAAAGUGUCAACUUUACCACAGCUACCUGUGACGUGGAUCGACAGUUAACUGAGUGCAUGCCAUUCGCUAAUGAUAUGAUUAGUAAAUCAGACUUAGAUGGAAAAUGCAAAGCCUGGCAGGGACUUGGGAAAUGUUUGGUGAGAUUAGAUUGUUUCACUGGAGAUAGUAAGGACGUGUAUGAUACUGGUACAGCCAUUUGCGGUGAUUAUAAACCCAAACCUAGUAAUAAUCAACCCAAACCCGGCAGUGGAACUAAAAACGACCCAUCUUCGGGUGCAACGACCAUAGUGGCAAACGUAUCGUCGGCCCUGUUUCUCACUGUAUUUGCUUUUUAUAAAAACUAUUUUUAAAUUUACUAAAUUCAAAGUUAAAUAUUACUCCUAAAGUUAAUUUAAGGGAAUAAAACUACAAUUGUUUGAACACUAAUCUGGUAGUAUAAAUGUAUUUUCUUAAAUUAAUUUCACCUCUAUUAAACAUACAUUAUGCAAGAGAUAAAUCUGCCUAUUUGCAGGUCUUUCUUUAGGUUAGGCCUGAAAUGUUAUCUAAAUUAUUAAUUAGACAUUAAUUAACUUAUACAGACCAUAAUUAACCCUCGAUGGCAUCACUAGCCUGCGAUGUUUAUUGGAUUAGGUUCCGAUUUGUUUCGACUUCAAUUCAUAAUUUAAUUAUUAAAUGGAUAACCGAGACUAUGUUUUAUAUCCUACCGACUUUAGUAAUGAUGAUCAAGGCUAGGCGAAAAAUUCAUUCGCUAAAAUCUCGGUUCAUAGUGGGUCAAUUUGACUGAAAUUUUCAGCAAAUUCCCUUUACAGUAUCUAGUUUUUAACUAUCAUAGUGAGAACUGCCAGCUCUUUAUCUAAUCUGCCAUAAUGUAUGUUUAAUGUAAUUAG